GUCCUACGGGUGGCUGCAGUGGGGAAUAUUGGACAAUGGGGGCAACCCUGAUCCAGCGACGCCGCGUGGGUGAAGAAGGCCUGCGGGUUGUAAAGCCCUUCGGUGGGGAAGAAAAGUCUCGGCCUAAUACGCUGGGACCCUGACGUAACCCACUAAAGAAGCACCGGCUAACUCUGUGCCAGCAGCCGCGGUAAUACAGAGGGUGCGAGCGUUAAUCGGAAUUACUGGGCGUAAAGCGCGCGUAGGCGGCGUUGCAAGCCGGAUGUGAAAUCCCCGGGCUUAACCUGGGAACUGCAUUCGGGACUGCAUUGCUAGAGUAUGGGAGAGGGAAGUGGAAUUUCAGGUGUAGCGGUGAAAUGCGUAGAUAUCUGAAGGAACAUCAGUGGCGAAAGCGACUUCCUGGACCAAUACUGACGCUCAUGUGCGAAAGCGUGGGGAGCAAACAGGAUUAGAUACCCUAGUAGUCGG
rnacentral:rRNA from 1 species